rnacentral:rRNA from 1 species
UACGUAGGGGGCAAGCGUUGUCCGGAAUUAUUGGGCGUAAAGCGCGCGCAGGCGGCUAUUUAAGUCUGGUGUUUAAACCUUGGGCUCAACCUGGGGUCGCACUGGAAACUGGGUGGCUUGAGUACAGAAGAGGAAAGUGGAAUUCCACGUGUAGCGGUGAAAUGCGUAGAGAUGUGGAGGAACACCAGUGGCGAAGGCGACUUCCUGGCCUGUUCUUGACGCUGAGGCGCGAAAGCUAGGGGAGCAAACGGG